UUGGUUGACUUAUGGGACUUAGUUUGCUGGCCCCUGAUGUGGAUUAUGUGUUGGAGAUCUCUUCCUGUUAAUAGGUGUAGAUCCACCUCAUUGUUUAAUGGCUGCCCAGUAUUCCAUUGCAUGAAUUUACCUCGAUUUAUAUAACUAUUUCCUUAUUGAUGGACAUGUAGAUUAUUCCCACCAUUUUACUAUACAAGAAUAUCCUGGUACAUCCAUCUUGAGGUAUACAUGUGAGUAUUUCGACAGAGUAGAAUACCAGAAUUGGAAUUGCUGGGUGCAAGUGUUCAAGGGUAUGUACACAUUGAAUAUUGAUGCCUUCUGAGAAGUCAAACUAAUAAUGAACGAGAAUUUCUGGGGCAGGCUGGGACUUUUUUCUAGGUUUACUGUCUGUCCAUAGAGCUGGGUUGCCUUGUGAGAUGGAAGUGGUCCUUGUUCUGUCCCAGAGCAGAGCGCCAGCACCGAAGAUACUCCUUGGUAAAAGUCACAGAAGUCCCUCUCACCUACUGCUCCACGGUGGCCCUUGUCACAGAAGUAGGCCAGGAGAGCGGCCCACACUGUCCAAUCCUGUGGAGAUGUUGAGGAGGAAACCACCUGGAAAUGGGCCUGCUUUGCUAAGGGUCCAAUCCAGGAUCCCACAUUUAGCAAGUUUGUUUUUAGAAAAUAAACUGUGGCUGUGGUAGGCAGAGUGGACUGGAGAGGCCUGGGUCUGGAGGCCAGAGAACCUGAGAGCAAGCUGGGCAGGAGCCUGGUGGGAGAUAUCGGGGGCAGGAAUUCCAGCUGUUGCAGAAGAGGAGAGAGGAGGGGUAAUAUGGCCCCGAAGAUUAAGGGACUCUAGGGUUGACAAGUGAAGUCAAAACGUUAUCACGUGUUGCUUGCUUCUACAUUUUAUGCAGUCCUCUAGGCGGCAGAUAAUUAUUGAGCACCUACCAGGUGGCAGGCACCAAUGUUCUCCGGACACAUGGCUAUGGGUUCCACCUGCCACCCUCACACGUCUCCAACUCUAGCCUGGUUUUCCCAUUUCACAGCCAACUUCCGCUGCCUGUGAGUAUGCUAAAACCAAACUCCGCUCCUUAAAAGAAGUCCAACACUGAAAGAAUUUUCACAGCCUGUCCUUCCUGCUGCCAAGAAUAUAUAUUACCAAUUUCCAGUGGAAGCUCAAAUGUCCCUUUGUAAUAACCUAGCCUCUGAGCGCUAAGUUUGAGGGGUCACCACAAGUUGGGAGUCACCUAGGGACUGACUGCCAUGCUGCCCAGCGAGAGGUCGAGGGGGAGGCCGGUGUGAGGUGGUAAUGGAGUUUGAGACCCAGGGGGUCUGCAUGCACACUCCCUUGGGUUGCAGCCCAGGGUUAAGAAAAAAAUCCAGAGAAAUCCUGGUUGGCAUGUUUCUAGCCCAGAUGGAAGAGAGAUCCGACAAACUGCUAAAGGGUUCCAAAACCAACACAUGAAAAGUGCCUGGUGCCAGCAAAUUCGAGGUAUGUUGGCAUGCAGUGCAGAAGAGAAAUGUAUUCACCCUGUUGGAAAGGGGAAGACAAGAAGACGGACGGCUGUUGAGAGAAGGCAGGGUGCUCCUUGCCAACUGUGAAACGCCAGCUCUGGGAAAAACAGUGGCUUCCAAACGGCUGAGCAGGACUGGCGCGAGCCAGGAGGAAGGGGCGCAGACAGCCAGGCGACAGGGAUCUCA
rnacentral:lncRNA from 1 species